rnacentral:rRNA from 1 species
CCCUUAGAGUUUGAUCCUGGCUCAGGACGAACGCUGGCGGCGCGCUUAACACAUGCAAGUCGAGCGAGAACCAGUCCUUCGGGGCUGGGGACAGCGGCGAACGGGUGAGUAACACGUGGGUAAUCUGCCCUCGGCACCGGAAUAGCCCGGGGAAACCCGGAUUAAUGCCGGAUGGCCUCUCUGCCCUUCGGGGCGGUGAGAAAAGGUAGCUUCGGCCUCCGGCCGAGGAUGAGCCCGCGGCCGAUUAGCUUGUUGGUGAGGUAACGGCUCACCAAGGCGACGAUCGGUAGCUGGUCUGAGAGGACGAUCAGCCACACUGGGACUGAGACACGGCCCAGACUCCUACGGGAGGCAGCAGUGGGGAAUCUUGCGCAAUGGGCGAAAGCCUGACGCAGCGACGCCGCGUGCGGGAAGAAGGCCUUCGGGUUGUAAACCGCUUUCAGGAGGGACGAAGCCACUCGGGUUAAUAGCCUAGAGGGUGACGGUACCUCCAGAAGAAGCCCCGGCUAACUACGUGCCAGCAGCCGCGGUAAUACGUAGGGGGCUAGCGUUGUCCGGAUUUAUUGGGCGUAAAGAGCGUGUAGGCGGCCAGGUAAGUCUGGUGUGAAAACUCGAGGCUUAACCUCGAGAUGUCAUCGGAAACUAUCUGGCUAGAGUCCGGAAGAGGAAAGUGGAAUUCCUGGGUGUAGCGGUGAAAUGCGCAGAUAUCAGAAGAACACAAUGGCGAAAGCAGCUUUCUGGGACGUACUGACGCUGAGACGCGAAAGCGUGGGGAGCGACAGAUAGAUACCCUGGUAGUCACGCGUA